rnacentral:lncRNA from 1 species
CUUGGCCUUCCCGGUGCUCUGCAGGAUGUGCACCAAGGCGCAGGCCACCUCCUCCUUGCUCUUGACGCUGAGCACGGGCUCGAGGACGGCGCAGAGCAUGCGGUAGUUGUUGGUGACGUACUCGGCGAACUCCUUGUAGAGCUCCAUGGGGAGGAUGCUCAUGGUCUGGAAGCGGCUCUUGACGCGCAGGGCCGGGCAGCCGGCCUUGCUCUUGCUGCCGCUGGGCUGGCUGAGCGGGUACCACUGCUCGGCGAAGUGCCGCCCGGUGACGCUGGCGAUGGGGAUGCUCACCAUCCCCACGUAGUUGCUCUUGUCCUUCUUGCGCUUCUUGUCCGUGUCCUUGUAGAGGUGCAGGCGGAUGGUGCGCACGGCCGGCAGGUUGUUGAACUCGAAGUGCUCCCCCCAGAAGACGUUGUCGGUGCGCGCCUUGCUGGUGGUGCGGGCGUACAGCAUGUCGUCCAGGCACAGCUCGCAGUAGUAGCGCUUCUUGGGGGGCAGGUCCCGCGCCUCGAUCACCCACAGCUUCAGCACGUUGUCCACGCGGCGGCUGUUGUCCUGGGGGGACCGGGAAGGGCCUUGUCACCGGGGGAACGGCCGGGGGUGGGACGUGGGGUCUCCACCAGUCGGCCAACCCCACCAGUUGGCGCUCCUCAUCCCCACCAGUUGACCCUCUCCACCCCUACCAGUUGACCAUCCCCACCAGUUGACCACCCCCACCAGCUGACCAUCCCCAACUCCACCAGUUGACCAUGCCCAUCCCCACCAGUUGACCAUCCCCACCAGCUGACCAUGCCCAUUCCUACCAGUUGACCAUCUCCAACUCCACCAGUUGGUGCUCCCCAUCCCCAUCAGUAGACCCUCUCCACCCCUACCAGUUGGUCAUCCCCACCAGUUGACCAUCUCCACCUCCACCAGUUGACCACCCCCACCAGUUGACCAUCCCCAUCAGUUGACCAUGCCCAUCCCCACCAGUUGACCAUCCCCACCAGUUGACCAUCCCCAACUCCACCAGUUGGUGCUCCCCAUUCCCACCAGUUGACCAUGCCCACCUCCACCGGUUGACCAUCCCCACCAGUUGACCAUGCCCAUCCCCAGCAGUUGACCAUGCCCAUCCCCACCAGUUGACCACCCUCACCAGUUGACCCUCUCCAACCCCACCAGUUGACCACCCCCACCAGUUGACCAUCCCCAACUCCACCAGUUGACCAUGCCCAUCCCCACCAGUUGACCACCCCCACCAGUUGACCAUGCCCACCUCCACCAGUUGACCAUCCCCACCAGUUGACCAUGCCCACCUCCACCAGUUGACCAUCCCCACAACCUGACCCUCCCCAUCCCCUCCAAGUAACCAUCCCCAACCCCA